rnacentral:rRNA from 1 species
AAUAUUGGACAAUGUGCGGAAGCCUGAUCCAGCCAUGCCGCGUGUUUUAAUAUGGUCUUCUGAUUGUAAAUCACUUUACUUAGGGAGGAAGGGCCGUUAACGAAUACUUAACUGUUUUGCCGUUACCACAAGAAUUAGCACCUGCUAACUUCGUACCAGCAGCCGCGGUAAUACGAAGGGUGCAAGCGUUAAUCGGAAUUACUGGGCGUAAAGCGCGCGUAGGUGGUUCGUUAAGUUGGAAGUGAAAGCCCCGGGCUCAACCUGGGAAUUGCUUUCAAAACUGGCGAGCUAGAGUACGGUAGAGGGUGGUGGAAUUUCCUGUGUAGCGGUGAAAUGCGUAGAUAUAGGAAGGAACAUCAGUGGCGAAGGCGACCACCUGGACUGAUACUGACACUGAGGUGCGAAAGCGUGGGGAGCAAACAGG